CGUCCUCCCAUCUUCACGCUAUCACACUGUGACCCAGUGAAUUCGAACUUGUGAAGUUCCAUUCGGGGGAUCAUAUGGGAAGGGCUUCACACCCAGACAUAGAUUAUAGAUGGGAAGUGGGCCACAUGGUGUCAGUGAGGCAAGUAUGGGUCGUUUAGGGACAAUGCACUGUCAGAUCUUUGUUGACCAUGAUUAGAGAAACUGUGCAUAUUAGUAGUGAAUUAAUGUCAGGAAUAUCUGACAAAUCCUGGAAAAGAAGAUUGAUGAGAGGAAAUGUGUUCUGCCCAACUGUAUAAUGCAUUUGAAGCUUAAAACAAUGAAUCAGUAUUGAUCUGGCCACAAAAUAUUAAUGAUUUGAAUUAAAAAGAAAAGUUUAGAAAAUGAUAGCUUUGACAAAUUAAGGUAGCAUUUCAUCCACACGAUGGAGUGUGUUUUAUUCAGUAAUUGAUUUAAAAAUGGAAUCAACCUAAGUGUCUAACAGGAGGGAGUUUUAUAAAUUGUUCACAGAACAUCUGUUCCAAGGAGACCUUGAUGUUCAUAGAUUUGUAAAGAAUGCUGCUUACUAGCACACUGACUGCUCUGCAAAUGUCUGAGGGUUCCUCCACUUGGGGCAAGUUGGGGGUUUGAUCGCAGAGUAAAUAAAUGGUGCAUUUUAUAAUGUAAUAUAUUCUAGCAAGAUGCAGCCCACAAACUGUAUAGAUACUCUUAUGUACCACAUAAAGUUCAU
rnacentral:lncRNA from 1 species